rnacentral:lncRNA from 1 species
AUUAUGAAAUUAUAUGACCAUAUUAAUAAAUACUAACAUAGGAUUAAACACAACAUGAUUUUUGUAAGUUUAUAAGACAUAUUGCUUGAGAUGAUGAUUUAACUGAUUGAUGACAAUUUAUCUGAACUGUAAGAACUUUUUUUAAGAGUUUAUAUGAUAUAUUUGCCUGAUAUGAUAAUUUAUCUGAACUAUAUGAACUUUGUAACUAUUUUUUCUCAUUAAAUUGAAUGCAAAUAAAUAUUAAUGGAUUUUAUUAAUAAGGUGUUAAAAAGUGGUGGGACUGUAUAACAACUCAAAAGGAUUCUUAAACUCAAAUGCAUUAUUAUUUUUAUUUUUUUUGCAUCAACAUUAUUUAAAAGCUAGUUGAACCUAGAGCUCAC